AGUGAACGCUGGCGGUAGGCCUAACACAUGCAAGUCGAACGGCAGCACAGUAAUAUCUUGCUCUUACGGGUUGCGAGUGGCGGACGUGAGAGGAAUACAUCGUAAUCUACUUUUUCGUGUGGGAUAACGUAGGUAAACUUACUCCAAUAUCGCAUACCACCUACGGGGGAAAGCAGUGGAUCUUCUGACCGUUCGCGGUUGAAUGAGCCGAUGUUGGAUUGGCUAGUGGGGGGGGUAAAGGCCCAGCAAGGCGGCGAUCCGUAGCUGGUCUGAGUGGCUGGUAGGCCACACUGGAACUGGGACAGGCACCAGACUACUACGGGACGGAGCAGUCGGGAACAUUGGGCAGUGGGCGCAAGUCUGAUCCAGCCAUCCCGCGUCGGAGACGAAGGCCUUCGGGUUGUAAAGACCUUCUGUUGGGAAAGAAACGCAGCAGGUUAAUACGACGCUGUUCUGACGGUAAUGAAAGAAUAAGCACCGGCUAACUUCGUG
rnacentral:rRNA from 1 species